GACGAACGCUGGCGGCGUGCCUAAUACAUGCAAGUAGAACGCUGAAGGAGGAGCUUGCUUCUCCGGAUGAGUUGCGAACGGGUGAGUAACGCGUAGGUAACCUGCCUGGUAGCGGGGGAUAACUAUUGGAAACGAUAGCUAAUGCCGCAUAACAGUAGAUGUUGCAUGACAUUUGCUUAAAAGGUGCAAUUGCAUCACUACCAGAUGGACCUGCGUUGUAUUAGCUAGUUGGUGGGGUAACGGCUCACCAAGGCGACGAUACAUAGCCGACCUGAGAGGGUGAUCGGCCACACUGGGACUGAGACACGGCCCAGACUCCUACGGGAGGCAGCAGUAGGGAAUCUUCGGCAAUGGACGGAAGUCUGACCGAGCAACGCCGCGUGAGUGAAGAAGGUUUUCGGAUCGUAAAGCUCUGUUGUAAGAGAAGAACGAGUGUGAGAGUGGAAAGUUCACACUGCGACGGUAUCUUACCAGAAAGGGACGGCUAACUACGUGC
rnacentral:rRNA from 1 species